CCUACGGGGCGCACCAGUGGGGAAUAUUGGACAAUGGGCGAAAGCCUGAUCCAGCAAUGCCGCGUGUGUGAAGAAGGCCUUCGGGUUGUAAAGCACUUUCAGCGGGGAGGAAGGCGAUAAGGUUAAUAACCUUGUCGAUUGACGUUACCCGCAGGAGAAGCACCGGCUAACUCCGUGCCAGCAGCCGCGGUAAUACGGAGGGUGCAAGCGUUAAUCGGAAUUACUGGGCGUAAAGCGCACGCAGGCGGUCUGUCAAGUCGGAUGUGAAAUCCCCGGGCUCAACCUGGGAACUGCAUUCGAAACUGGCAGGCUAGAGUCUUGUAGAGGGGGGUAGAAUUCCAGGUGUAGCGGUGAAAUGCGUAGAGAUCUGGAGGAAUGCCGGUGGCGAAGGCGGCCCCCUGGACAAAGACUGACGCUCAGGUGCGAAGGCGUGGGGAGCAAACGGGAUUAGAUACCCCGGUAGUC
rnacentral:rRNA from 1 species